rnacentral:lncRNA from 1 species
CAGUGCCACCAACCCAGGGGAUGGACACAUGGAGCCAUGGCAGUGCCACCAACCCCGGAGCAGCCACGGCACAACCCCAGAGCAGCCACGGCAGUGCCACCACGCUCAGGUGGUCCCCCCGAGGGGACAGAUCCCAGCCCUGAGGCUGCAGCUGGCUGGGAUGGGGGCAGGUGGAGAUGGAAUCUGAAAUCCUUGGCUGUUGGGGGCGAUGGAAGCCCGGCCCAGGUGUGGGGAGGAAAGGAACUUCAUCCACCCACCCCAAAGCAGAGCUUCUACCCCCCAAAAAGCAGAGCUUUGGGCUAGAAGGGACCUUCAAGCCCAGGCAGUGCCACCCCCAGGCUGUCACCGGGCGCUGGGCUGGGCUCUGAGCUCGUCCCCUUUUGGGACAAAAACGCCAAUCCAGGUGGGGCAGCUCCCCCAAGCCCACCUGGCAGGUGCUGCUGGGGGUCCCUGGGCAGUUUUUGGGGUCGGUGGUGUUUCCUACCAGCUUUGGGGGUUACAGCACACAGAUGACAAAGCCAGCCAGGAUUCGGCACAAAAAGGGACAAACUGUGGGACGGAGGCACCAGUGCUGCCCAGCUGCCUUCAUGGAUUCAUUUCCUGGGGGAAAAGAGAGGAAUCCUCGGGACCAAGGUGCCCCAUCCUGCCCAAAAUCCUGCCCCAACACCCUCCCCGUGCACCCCAGGAGCUGAGCGAGACAAAACGCAGAAAACCCCACAGCCAGCAAAUGGCAAGAGCAUUUCUCACAGCUGGAAAUGGUGGGAUGCCACUGGAACAGAGCGAACAUUCCCAAGGAACACAAGGACACAGCCCCCAGAGCCCUCCUCCUUCUGAGCCACCUCGGCCUGCUUCUCUCAUUUAACAGCUCCUGCUCUUCCUAAGAGUUGUUCUCUUUCUGUUUGCUUUCAAAUUAUUUCAAUUCCUGAAUAUUUUUAUUUUUGUUUCUCAAAUCUGAACUAGCGCUACACCUUCCACAUCCAAACUAUGUUGAAGCUUUUAUUAUUUCAAUACUAUGACAAAAAACACGGUUCACACUAAAAUAGUCACGCACCCACAGUGCACAAGCUUGCAGAUCUAAAGUAGAAUUCAAAAAAAAAAAGAAAAAAAAAA